rnacentral:lncRNA from 1 species
AGACCUCAAAGUGUGCAUUGACAUUGAUUUUGAUUGACGUUUAGAAACUUUUCAAGCUUAUGGUAAUAUGUAGAUUGCAUGUCGACUGUGUGUGAACCCUUUCAUAUGUUUGCGUGGAGUUGUGAAUUGGUGGUUGCUAACAAGUCAAACUAGCUCAUCUUUAGCUAGUAAGGUGUUGAACUUUUGGUUACUAUCGCUUGAUCAGGUAAUUGUUAUUUUACUGUCGAUUGUCA